rnacentral:rRNA from 1 species
AGUGGAUGGGGAGCAACCUAGUUGUGCGUGUGUAAAGGUAGUGCCAAGAAAAGCGAUGAUCAUGUUGAAAAUCAAUUCCCGGUACCCGAAACCGACACAGGUGGGCAAGUAGAGAAUACUAAGGGGCGCGAGGUAACUCUCUCCAAGGAACUCGGCAAAAUGACCCCGUAACUUAGGGAGAAGGGGUGCCACCGAGAGGUGGUCGCAGUGAAGAGGCCCAGGCGACUGUUUAGCAAAAACAUAGGUCUCUGCAAACUCGAAAGAGGAGGUAUAGGGGCUGACGCCUGCCCAGUGCCGGAAGGUUAAAGAAGUUGGUCAGUCUUAGGAUGAAGCUAGCGACUGAAGCCCCGGUGAACGGCGGCCGUAACUAUAACGGUCCUAAGGUAGCGAAAUUCCUUGUCGGGUAAGUUCCGACCCGCACGAAAGGCGUAACGAUCUGGGCGCUGUCUCGGAGAGAGGCUCGGCGAAAUAGGAUUGUCUGUGAAGAUACGGACUACCUGCAUUUGGACAGAAAGACCCUAUGAAGCUUUACUAUAGCUUGGAAUUGUGUUCGGGCUUCCUGUGCGCAGGAUAGGUGGGAGGCGAAGAAGGUAUUCUUGUGGGGAUACUGGAGCCAACGGUGAGAUACCACUCUCAGGAGGCUAGAAUUCUAACUUAAUUAAGGACAGUUUCAGGUGGGUAGUUUGACUGGGGCGGUCGCCUCCAAAAAGGUAACGGAGGCGUACAAAGGUUCCCUCAGACUGGUUGGAAAUCAGUCGAAGAGUGCAAAGGCAGAAGGGAGCUUGACUGCGAGAAGUACAGUUCGAGCAGGGUGGAAACACGGUCUUAGUGAUCCGACGGUGCUGUGUGGAAGGGCCGUCGCUCAACGGAUAAAAGUUGCUCUAGGAUAACAGGCUGAUCUCCCCCAAGAGUUCACAUCGACGGGGAGGUUUGGCACCUCGAUGUCGGCUCAUCGCAACCUGGGGCGGAAGUACGUCCCAAGGGUUGGGCUGUUCGCCCAUUAAAGCGGUACGUGAGCUGGGUUCAGAACGUCGUGAGACAGUUCGGUCCAUAUCCGAUGUAGGCGUGAGAAUAUUGAGAGGAGCCUUCCUUAGUACGAGAGGACCGGGAAGGACGCACCGCUGGUGUACCUGUUAUGAUGCCAAUUGUAAACGCAGGGUAGCCAAGUGCGGAGAGGAUAACCGCUGAAAGCAUCUAAGUGGGAAGCCCACCUCAAGAUGAGUAUUCUGGUGUAAGGUCACGGGAAGACGACCCGUAAAUAGGCACGAGGUGGAAGUGCAGAGAUGUAUGAAGCCGAAGUGUACUAAUAGACCGUCGGCUUGACCG